UAUUCCUCCAGGCUACCUGUCCUUGCUUCCACCCUCUGUAGGUUUCCAAGAAGGCAGAAAAUGUUGGUCUGCACAACAGUCUGCAAGGUAACACAAGCAUAUUCUACAUUUUAUUCCCACCAUGCAAAUCAAGGAGAAACGUAGUGCCUCUUUCAAGAUUAAUAUAAUUUGUUGUAGAACUAAAAGGUAAACCAUAGAAACAACCCUUCCUGGGAAAAGACUUCUUUAAAAAAAAAAAGUAUGGAUUUUGUUACUUCAACGUAACACUGCAACAGUUGUCAUAUAUUUUGAACAGAUAGAACUAUUAACAUGAUAAUUCUGUGAUCUCUAAAAUAAACUUCAGCAUAUUUGACCAGUCUGCUGUACUCAGGCAUCUGUAAUGGCUGCAUCCCAGAUUAUAUACAUUCUCAUAUAAGAGAAGUUGAAAGAAUUUUAUUUUCCUCUUGUCCCUGAAACCACAAUGAGUGUGUAUUCUCUAUUGUAGGAGCCAAACUCAAGGAUUUUGUAUGUAUGAAAGCACAGAGCAGUUUGAGGAGGAAAAAAAUUAUUUCAUCUGCAAAAACAUUGCAACAUGUUGCAAAUAAUACAGUUAAUUACUGUAAAUACAAUCCAAGAGGUGGUCAAAAUACUUUUAACACCAUUUUGUGCAGUGGUUUCCUUAAUAUAGCUACUUUAUUGACAUGUCUUUUUAUUAGACACAGAAAAUGAAAGAUCUUCCAUUCUUUAGAAAGCCUUUUUAAAGAGGGUUUAAGAAACCUCCAAAACCUGUUUUUAGAACCCUGUUUACAUUAAUUUCAUCUUGGAAGAUUAAUUAUUUUACAGAAAUUGACUUUCAAAAAAGGGCUGACUGUUCUGUAGAGCUGCUUAUGUUCCUUAUUUCUGAGAGGUAGGCUUCAGGUUUUAGCACCUCCAUAUCGUCUUUCUGAUAUUUGACCCACACCAGAAAAAAAUACAGAAAUGUUAAAGGACGGAUUUGUGAGAUUCUUUCCUACGUAAGAAGUCUUUUGAACAUUUCUUCUUGGAGAAGAGCUUUAAGGCAUAGGCUUAAAAUCCUUCUUACAAUCAGUUGCGUGUUGACUCCUUUUGGGGAGUUAAACAGAGAAGAGUGCUUAUUAGUAAUAUCAUUCCUUUAGGAUUUGUACGCCAUUCUUCUGAAAUAUCACAAUAUUCUGGAUUCAACACCAGCACAUACUAGCCAAUUUUAGAGGUUUUUUUAUUUAAACAAAGAAAAUCUCCAAUGUCUUCAGCACAAGUAUUAUACAAUGCUCCAAAUAGAACAUGCAACCUGGUGCAAUUACACAGUUCCUAGGCUAAACUGUUCCUUAUUUACCUUUCUUUUUCAGAUAUUUGUCUUGCAUAAUCUAAGUAAAGCUCUGGGAGGUUUGAAUUCCGCUCACUGUGUGGUUUUGACUGUGGGUACAAGUUCUGCAGUCUUGGAAACUGUCUCCUGUUUGCAUUCCUGCAAUAUUUGUGGCUGAAAAGCUGCUGUUGCUGUUUCUAUGGUCCACCUUCCCUGAAGACUAACAGGGCUAACACUCUGGUGAAUGUAAUACUCAGCACAAAAAUAGGCAUACAAGGUCAUAAAGACAAAGAACUAAAACAGAAGGGAAAAAGACUGAAACUGGAUCUUCUUAAUAACAAAAAAGCCAGACUCGGUCCCAAAGUCCAGUAAGAUUUCUGGGUGCGUGAUUUCUUAGAAUUUUUCUGCUGUUGAAAGCUUUAGUUUAAUCAAGGUUUGGUCAGCCUGCAGCCUGUACCCUUCUCUGUGAUCCUGCUCAGAGGAGGAUACAAUAGUGAAAUAGCUCUCAGUGAGGAAAUUUUGCUCUUUACUAUUUAAUGGGGAUGUGGAGAGAAUCCCUGAUUAAAUCCUACCUCUUUCACACAGAUUUGUAAAAAACAAGUGGAAGUGCCAAGAGUUAGGCUCUCCAGGGAAGUGAAUUCCACACUCUCUUAAUUUUGGGAGCAGAUCUCAUUCCAGUCUCGAGCCACAUUUUCACAGGCUUUGCCACUACAGUAAACAUCUGGUAAACAUCUGCCAUAUUAUGAAGACUGAAACUGUAAACAUUUGUAUAAUCCAAUAAUGUGUACUUGUCUCUGCAGAGUAUUGCCACGGAGUAAUUUUGCUUCUGAAAAGAAAGCCCUCAAGUCUUUCCCUGUCAUUAGUCCCUUUGAAAGGACGAACAGAAAUCAUUCAUGAGGUCUGCACUGCCUUCAAGUAGACUGACAGAGGAGAGAGUGCCCACUGUUUCUUCCUUAGAAAUCCACUUGGGUGCCCUUUACAGCAGAGGGGAAGAAAUUGCUGUUUCAUGUUCGCAAGCUGCAAAAUCAGCCAUUGAGGGCCUGAACUCCAACGCGGUCGUUUGCCAAGGAUACCAAAUUAGGGAAGAUGAAAGGCCCAUAUAAGAAAUAAACUUGUAUGAAGCAUCUUGCUUUCACUUAGGUGAGAGACUGAAAUGAGUCCAAAACAACUUGCUGUUUCUAAGUCUCCCGUUUCAGAAGCCUGAAUCCAGAAAUGCACUGCUCGUGUUAUGCUAAUGGUCUCUAGUCUUAGGCUCUCAUUUUAUUCAUUUUACUUUUGCUAGAGCUUUGGGGGGGGCUGCCUUAGAAUUGCUGCUGUUUGCUGAGAAGAUCUUAAGCUGGAUUUAUCUUCAGUUCCAGAAAAGAACUGUUCAUUAUUCCUGUUCUAAGAAUGGAAGCUAAUGAUUUAUUUCCUCUGAAUUUUUGUAGCUUUGGCUAUUUGUGGGAAUUGCAGCACUGGAUGAGUGUAUGUGGGGUUUAGGCUUCUCUAUUUAUUUUUUUUUUUUAGAUACCUAUGGGUGCUAAACCAACGAUGUACUAGUAAAUGCUACAUCUAGCAAACCUAGGAUCAUUCCGAAACGCCUGAGGAAAGUUUCGUAUGAAAUCCUGGUCCAACUAAUGUCUGCUAAUUUCAUCCUACCAUUAUAUUUUUGUACUAAGAAGGAAAAACCAGGAGACCUUCAGAACUACACAGGUUAACUGUUGCUGCUAUUCGUAAUGGUCAAAGCUACAACAGCAGGGAGAAUUGUACCCUAAUAGCACAGGCAAAAGCAAGAGCAAAUUAGAAAGGAAUUUCCAGUCUGGACAGAACUAACAUCUCUCAGACUCCUGAACUCUGUCCUCUAUUAUUGCUAUUUUGCUAAGUAGUGAAAUAAUACUAACUGGAAAAAUCACAUUGUUUGUGAACUUACUGAAUUUCAUUCAGAUUUUUAAAGGUUAAUUUAAGGUAGAAAAUCUUUUUGUAACCACUGAAGGAAAAGAACAAAAUGAAAUUACCAUUACCCAGGUAACAGUACUAGAAAUAGAUGCAGUAUUAGUCAAUUUAGCAUGUACUCCCUGCAGCUUGAACUCAAAUGCAAAUCUGUUCUGUUCUGAGCACAGCAGUGGCCUGACUUCCCACUGCUUUGUGUGCACAUUUCCCCAGGGAAUAAGCUAUGUAGCAACGCAGCUUUGCCAAGCCGAUACCCCUGAGCAGUGGGAGCUGAAGCAAGUGACUCAUGACUGCAAGACGACAGCAUCUGAUGCAAGACACACACAGGACAAACUGCUGAGAGAUGCAGUUCAUGACUGAGAGGUUUAUUCGCAUUGCCAGGAAAAGCCUUGUUCUUUUCCAGCUGUUACCAUGUUUUAUAAAACAAAUAUACGUAGUGUGGCAUUUCUGAUACAAAAUCUGUAUCAGUUUGCAAGAUUAAAUAUUUAAAAUUAGGUACAGAAGUGUCUGUGAAAUCAAAAUAUUAAAAGCAAUGAAAUAACACCGAUUUCUUCCCUCUCCCACCCCAAGUGCCUUAAAAAUGAAGCAAAAGCAAAAUUAAAACACUUGUAUACAUUUCUCUAAAGCUGUUGUCAUGACCACAUGUCACGUUGUACUGUAUUGCACCAUAACUGCUUACAUCUCCUGCCUCUUUGCUUGCCAGAGCAGGGUUUUGGUCUGCUGCUAGAAAUACAGUGGUUGGCAAAGAGGUAUGUGCACUUAGUCUGCCACCUCUUUGAUGCUGGUGAAUGGUUAUUCAAGGACAAAAAGGGGUAACUGGGACUAAACUCCUGAUAAUAAUGAGUUACUUUUCCACAAUAUUAGGUAGUAGAUAUUAGGCACAACAGGACUGCAUCCUGAGGGUGUAAGCAUGAGCAUUCAGGACAAAACUGCAAGCUGAUCCUAGGCACUGUAGCUCCCUUAGCCAGCCAAAGGAGGUCUUCUACUUCCUUUCCAUUAACUUCAACUAUUUUGUUAAAUGGACACUGGAAUGAAAAUGUGCUGACAUCAGCACCAACCAAAAUAUUUGUGUACAGUUGCUGGGAAUUGUACCAAUGUAAGGGGUGUUUUAACUUAGAAUUUCACAGCAGAGGGGUCUUGCAUUGUUUUGAAAAGGAGUAUUAGUUUUCUGAAGGAGAUGAGGAUCGAGAAUGCCAUGCUAUACAGUGCUGUUCAACUGUGACAACUUGUGACGGUGAUAUAGCAUUUUAAAAAGAUCUUUGUUAUUGCUGGCCUGUCUCUCAGCUUGACACCUGGCCCCUUGCAUGUUUUUCAUAGGAGCAGUUUCAUUUAGUUCAAUAAAACAAUUGACAUGAGGAUUGCAAGAUUGGGCCUGACAUUUGGAGGCUGAUACUUUGCAUGAUCUCCUCCAUGAGGCCCCAUUUUGCAAAAAUGCUCAGAAUAUAUGGAGCUUCGGCACGUCAGUGAUAGAGAACAGGUUUGAGUCAGAGCUGGUAAGAGAAUGGAUAGCCCACUGUUACUCUUUUGAUCACAUCAUCUCUUAAUAUAUAAAAUGACAUUUUUUUUCUAAAUGGCUACAACGCUAGGCUACUCUGGGGUGUGGGAAAGAUUGUAUAGGCCCUUGUUCUGCAAGUUUCAAAGGCCGUAAGAGAAGGGAGCACUCAGCAGUUUCCAUGAUUGGAUCUGGAGUAUAGAAUUAUACAUGCCACUUGCAUUAUUUACUGCCUGUUAUGAGGACUGUUUCUCUCAAUUCUGUUUAAAGAAGUUGGGGCAUCUGUGAGUACCGUUCUCUGCAUUAUAAUCGCUAGUGGACUCAGUAUGGAUUUAAGUCCAACAAUUUUUCUGCAGGCUGUUUUUUCACCAAAGCUGAGAGCGUGUCAACCUUGCUAGUUUGCAGUUCUAUUUCAUGCUAGGUUUUGGAGAAACAGCACCGACAGGUGCUCUUUUUGUACUAGAGACAGCAGCUCCACCAGCCUGUCAAGGGGUUUAGAAUGACCUAAUUCCCCCAUGCAGAACAGCUGUGAUGGCAAGAUCAUAUUUCAAUAAUCUGCUUUCUUUUGCUGAGAAAAUGGCUCCUUCUGUACCAUUAUUAACAAUUCCUGACAAAGUUAAUCAUUUUAAUACAGACCAAGUGAAAAUUUGGUCUGAAACAAGAAUAACACCUCCGUCCUACAACAAAUGCUGCUAAUACUUUAUUAUUACUAUUACAAUCAUAAACUGGUACUUUGCAAUCUGUCUUAGCAAACAUUCAACUGACCAGCAAAAAUCAGUAUCUUAAAUACAGAUGGUCUUCUGAUUGGGGAGUGUGCAAUUAUUACUCUGUGCUAGUCCAAUUCUGCCGCCUUGAAGACUUGUUGAGAAAAGGAAAGGCUAUUGAUACAACUUUUACAUAACCUUGACCUUUUAUUUUCUGUCAAUGCCUAUGAUGAUUUAGAGAAUCCACAUACAAUUUACAAAAUCUGAUUUAAGACCCUUUCUCUUUUAUCAAGCUGAGUGUGUCAUAUUCUUGGCAGCCCCGUAUCUUUUCUGUUGUGCUUAUGUAGAAAAUCUGGACUUCAGGAGACCUUGGUAGUUAAUGCAGUCUGUCCCCCCAUUCCAAUACAAACUUAAAUAUAGCUAUCAAUAUUUAUAAAAAUAUUUCUUCCACUAGUUAUGAAAAACAAACAAACUGAAGAUAAAAACUCAUCAAUCUUCCAAAGCAAUCUCUUCCUGUGCUUUUCAUAUUCCUUUGCUUAAUGGAGGUAAGCCCUCCAUUAAGGACAUCAGUUUAUUCCCUUCUGCUCCUUCAUAGCUCUGUGUUAUAUGUAUUUGUAGGCUGUUUAUUAGAGUUGAGCUUUCGUUAAGCUAAAGAAACCAUUUCCUCCUAGGUUGUGUGUCCUGAGCCUUGGAUCCUUCUUACGGCUUCUUGCAUUGCUCUUUCAUGAAAUGUCGUUCCAAAAACUUGGCAGUACUCCACCAGAGACCCUACCAGUGCUGAAUAUGCUGCAAGGAUUACUUCAUAUGUCUUGGAGACUAUAUUGUUUAUGCAGUCAAAAAGGUGAUUAUCUUUAUUGCAAUAUUGUGACAUUGUUGACCCACGUUAAGCUUGUUAUUCACUGUAAUCUCACAAUUUCUUCAUGCAUAGUGAGCUGGAAUUCCAAAGGGUAACAACACAGAUCUAGGAAGGCAGCAGCCUGUGCAAUGAAUGGCCCAUAAAAAUGUUUAUCCUGUCCAUCCAGGAGCAAAGAGAAGGCAGGUAAAGAUGUGUAUCUUCCUGGAUUGCUGUCUGGCCAACUGUCGUGUAUUAUUGCCUCAGGUCUGCCAUGGGGUGUAUUGCUUUUUCGUGCACUGACAGGCUGAGCAGAGGAGUGGGGGAGAUGUGAGAAGGAUUUAAGGGAGGUGUACAAGGAGAGCACAGGAGGAACAAAGGCUAUUGUGGAAGCAAUAUUGCCAGUUGUUGAUAAACUGUGGUCUUUCUGACUAUACUCUUUCUUGAUCAAAUUAUGAUAAUCUUCUACUCAAACUUCAUGAUUUCCAGAAAAUAUUCAGCUCUGACCAAGGACAGCUGGUUUGAGAGGUCAGGUUACCUUAAAAAAUAAACCGUAAAACUCCGUGCACAGUCCAGUGACAAGGUCAGGAGCUUGAGAAGGUAUCAUGCCAGUAGUACUACAGGAGCAGCUCUAAUAGGAAGCCUAAGACAGCUUCUCUAUUGCCUACAUUUGAUCUAUCCUGGACUGCCUUUUUCCUUUUUCCUAAUGAAGCCCUUUGUCACACAUUGAAUGGUUAUUUGCUCUUUGAAUAGUCAUAGUAACCCCCAGAUUUGGAGGAGUACCUGGGAGUUAAUUUUUUUCAAACAGAGUAGGCUUGAGAAGGAUAGCAUAGCAGAAUUUAUAAUGAUUAUGGAGUAGAAGUCUAGCUUCACCUUUUUCUCUGACACACACUCUUUUUUAUGAGGAAGGGGCCUGACUUCUUAAAGAAUAAAUAGGGCAAAGUCUGUAAAAAAACACUGCUCAGAAACUGGGUGCUCACAUUUAGAUGAGCUGCUUUCUGGAAGGGAAGGAGAAUUGUUUUCUAGUCUUUGUUUUGCUUGUGGCAACUUUUUUAGUGUAUAGACAUAUAGGUUCCCCCAUAUUUUGAAAAAUGUUGGGGCUCAAUACUGUUGAGCCACCCCUUUGCUUACUUUUGGUUGUGUAUGCAGGUUCUACUCCUUAAUCCAUGAAAAAGAUGUCAAUUUUUAUAGCUUAGAGUGUAAAGGGAGGCUUCAGAUGUUCCUCUGAGGUAAGCAUACAGACUGCUAGGAGUACUUGCCCUUGUUGGACCUUUCAGUAUAUUAGGAAGAGGGUAGCACUCCUGCAUAGAAUGGGUUUCUUCACUUGCUUGGAGAAACAGCGUGUGUUCCACUGUAACAAAUACUCGUUCACUGCCAGCAGCUGCAGAGGAAGGCAGAGGUCUGCAUUUGCACCCUCCCUGCCUUCCUACAAAGGGCCUCAGCAUUGCUACCCAUGCUGUAGUUUCCUCGCUCAGGUGUACAAGCUGCCUGGUAUCAGCUGUGCCUUGCAAUGUGAGACCUCCUUGAGCCUAUUCCUUGCUUUGCCUGUGUGGUCUAGUAGGUGCAGGAGUAGCUGCUGUACAAAACCUAAGGACAGGCAUUAAUAAACAUAUGAGGUGUGCUUUCCUUCUUGGGGGAGGAACUUGCUCCAGUGAGAAUGUCAGACGUGCUUGGGUAGUUUUCAGAACGAACAGCUGUAAAUGCCAGAACACUUCCUGGCAUCUUCUUUGGACAGUAUAUCAUUAUCAGGAAGGGAAAGAUACAGUUGGCGUACGCACUACAGAGACAAACCAUUAAUGGCACUGCACAACUGUCAUAUUAGAGGCCCAGUCUCACCUGACAGCGCUGUGGAACCCACAAGAUAAAUCUUCUUGAGUCAUUCCCAAAAGAAACAUAUGCCAGCAUGCAUGUAUCAUAUGCUUACAAGGUUGAAGUGGAGCAUUAAGCCCUAUUGCUGGGGAAGGGAAGAAAAGCAGGAAAAAGGACAUCUGUAUUCCAACAAUUGCCCUCCAAGCUGGAGGGAGACCAAAGAAACUUUAUUCUUCAGUGUAUCAAGAGAUAUGGAAAAACACAGGAUAAUAGCGCUUCAGAAUUUGUUGCAUCAUGUUUGUGGAGGCUUUAAGAGCAGCAAAAUGGGGGCACAUAUGCCUUCUGUUCCAAAUAGUAUGCAGUAGCUGCUCCCUUGAAAAGCACAGGACACAGGCAGCAAUUGCUAUUAAAUGAAAAACAGUGGUUGGACUUCAGGCUGAAUGAACAAGUUGUAAGUAGGUUUCAUGUUAACUGCUUGCAGCGUGUAUCUUGUACAGGUACCUAUUACAGAACAGGCUGUGGCCUUUGGAUGUGUGAUGCCUUGAAAAAAGGCUGGUGUUGAAAGACUCCCCUGUAUUUUUGUAGCGCUUAAUUUAUGCUUGCUUGAGCAACUUUGAAACUUUUGGUAUGUAAGAAAACCUUGAGCUUUAUUAACAGUAUGCACAAAUAGAUAAGAAGCCUUAAGUUCUGCUGAGCUUUGUGAUUAAAACCUGCCAGGACCAGCAAAUUGGGAAGAAGAGAUGAACCACCUGGGAUGACCUGCACUGCUCAUGCCUUAAGGGAAAGUUCAAUUAGCGGACACCAAGAAGAUGACUACCAGAGGGUUUCAAAGACCCCAAAAGACCACCGACCCAUUUAAUAGCGCAUGCCCAAAAGGGCAGACACAAUUUAAAUAAUUUCUGGGAAAUAACAUGAAUAUGUACAACAAUUCUGGGAAAUGUAAUGAAUAUGUAUAUAUUAGAACAAUAUAAGCUUUGCUUGCUGUAGGUAGUGGUAUGCACACUAGAAGGAACUAUCCCCCGUGCAUCCAGCACUGCAAUAAAGAAUGCCUGCUUUCUAAAACUCCAAAA